UACGAAGGGGGGCUAGCGUUGCUCGGAAUCACUGGGCGUAAAGGGUGCGUAGGCGGGUCUUUAAGUCAGGGGUGAAAUCCUGGAGCUCAACUCCAGAACUGCCUUUGAUACUGAAGAUCUUGAGUCCGGGAGAGGUGAGUGGAACUGCGAGUGUAGAGGUGAAAUUCGUAGAUAUUCGCAAGAACACCAGUGGCGAAGGCGGCUCACUGGCCCAUAACUGACGCUGAGGCACGAAAGCGUGGGGAGCAAACAGG
rnacentral:rRNA from 1 species